UGGGGAAUAUUGCACAAUGGGCGCAAGCCUGAUGCAGCCAUGCCGCGUGUAUGAAGAAGGCCUUCGGGUUGUAAAGUACUUUCAGCGGGGAGGAAGGGAGUAAAGUUAAUACCUUUGCUCAUUGACGUUACCCGCAGAAGAAGCACCGGCUAACUCCGUGCCAGCAGCCGCGGUAAUACGGCGGGUGCAAGCGUUAAUCGGAAUUACUGGGCGUAAAGCGCACGCAGGCGGUUUGUUAAGUCAGAUGUGAAAUCCCCGGGCUCAACCUGGGAACUGCAUCUGAUACUGGCAAGCUUGAGUCUCGUAGAGGGGGGUAGAAUUCCAGGUGUAGCGGUGAAAUGCGUAGAGAUCUGGAGGAAUACCGGUGGCGAAGGCGGCCCCCUGGACGAAGACUGACGCUCAGGUGCGAAAGCGUGGGGAGCAAACAGG
rnacentral:rRNA from 1 species